UCCAGACUCCUACGGGAGGCAGCAGUGGGGAAUAUUGGGCAAUGGAGGCAACUCUUACCCAGCAAUGCCGCGUGAAUGAAGAAGGUCUUCGGAUUGUAAAGUUCUUUAAUUGGGGACGAAAAAAAUGACGGUACCCAAGGAAUAAGCCCCGGCUAACUACGUGCCAGCAGCCGCGGUAAUACGUAGGGGGCAAGCGUUAUCCGGAUUUACUGGGUGUAAAGGGAGCGUAGACGGCGAUGCAAGUCUGAAGUGAAAGGCGGGGGCCCAACCCCCGGACUGCUUUGGAAACUGUAUAGCUGGAGUGCAGGAGAGGUAAGUGGAAUUCCUAGUGUAGCGGUGAAAUGCGUAGAUAUUAGGAGGAACACCAGUGGCGAAGGCGGCUUACUGGACUGUAACUGACGUUGAGGCUCGAAAGCGUGGGGAGCAAACAGGAUUAGAUACCCUGGUAAG
rnacentral:rRNA from 1 species